rnacentral:rRNA from 1 species
GAGUUUGAUCGUGGCUCAGAUUGAACGCUGGCGGCAUGCCUUACACAUGCAAGUCGAACGGCAGCAUGAUCUAGCUUGCUAGAUUGAUGGCGAGUGGCGAACGGGUGAGUAAUACAUCGGAACGUGCCCUGUAGUGGGGAUAACUAGUCGAAAGAUUAGCUAAUACCGCAUACGACCUGAGGGUGAAAGUGGGGGACCGCAAGGCCUCAUGCUAUAGGAGCGGCCGAUGUCUGAUUAGCUAGUUGGUGGGGUAAAGGCCGACCAAGGCGACGAUCAGUAGCUGGUCUGAGAGGACGAUCAGCCACACUGGGACUGAGACACGGCCCAGACUCCUACGGGAGGCAGCAGUGGGGAAUUUGGACAAUGGGCGAAAGUCUGAUCCAGCAAUGCGCGUGUGUG